AAGUCGUAACAAGGUUUCCGUAGGUGAACCUGCGGAAGGAUCAUUAAUGGGCCAGCCUCCGGGCGCACCCCCACCCUUUGUAACCGCGGCCCGGAUUCGGCGCCCGGCGGGGAGUAACCCCCCGUUCGCGGGGGGCCCCGCCUGCCGGAAUUAGCCAACCCUGCCUUGAAAACUGAAGUCUGAGAACGAGUCAAAUCGAACAAAACUUUCAACAACGGAUCUCUUGGUUCUG
rnacentral:misc_RNA from 1 species